rnacentral:rRNA from 1 species
CCUACGGGUGGCAGCAGUGGGGAAUAUUGCACAAUGGGGGAAACCCUGAUGCAGCGACGCCGCGUGAAGGAAGAAGUAUUUCGGUAUGUAAACUUCUAUCAGCAGGGAAGAAAAUGACGGUACCUGAAUAAGAAGCCCCGGCUAACUACGUGCCAGCAGCCGCGGUAAUACGUAGGGGGCAAGCGUUAUCCGGAUUUACUGGGGGGAAAGGGAGCGUAGGCGGCGAUGCAAGUCAGAAGUGAAAGCCCGGGGCUCAACUCGGGGACUGCUUUUGAAACUGGAUGGCUAGAGUGCAGGAGAGGCGAGUGGAAUUCCUGGUGUAGCGGUGAAAUGCGUAGAGAUUAGGAGGAACACCAGUGGCGAAGGCGGCUUGCUGGACUGUAAAUGACGCUGAGGCGCGAAAGCGUGGGGAGCAAACAGGAUUAGAUACCCCAGUAGUC